rnacentral:rRNA from 1 species
AUUUUGAUGGCGACCGGCGGACGGGUGCGUAACACGUAUGUAACCUACCUUUUUCUAGAAAAUAGCCUGAGGAAACUCGGAUUAAUAUUCUAUAAUACAGUAUUUUCGCAUGAAAAUAUUAUUAAAGCAGAAAUGUGGAAAAAGAUGGGCAUGCGCCCGAUUAGUUAGUUGGUGGGGUAAAGGCCUACCAAGACGAUGAUCGGUAGGGGGCCUGAGAGGGUGAUCCCCCACACUGGUACUGAGAUACGGACCAGACUCCUACGGGAGGCAGCAGUGAGGAAUAUUGGUCAAUGGAGGAAACUCUGAACCAGCCACGCCGCGUGCAGGAAGAAUGCCUUAUGGGUUGUAAACUGCUUUUGUUUAGGAAUAAAAAUUUCUACGUGAUAGAAAUUGUGAAGGUACUAAACGAAUAAGUGUCGGCAAACUCCGUGCCAGCAGCCGCGGUAAUACGGAGGACACAAGCGUUAUCCGGAUUUAUUGGGUUUAAAGAGUGCGUAGGCGGUUUAUUAAGUCAGUAGUGAAAUGUUACAGCUUAACUGUUAAAAUGGCUAAUGAUACUGAUAGACUUGAGUGAGAUUGGAGUAAUUGGAAUGUGUGGUGUAGCGGUGAAAUGCAUAGAGAUCACACAGAACACCGAUCGCGAAAGCAGGUUACUAAAUCUAUACUGACGCUGAGGCACGAAAGCGUGGGGAGCAAACAGGAUUAGAUACCCUGGUAGUCCACGCCGUAAACGAUGAUCACUAGUCGUUGGAUUUUAUUAUUCAGUGGCUAAGCGAAAGUGAUAAGUGAUCCACCUGGGGAGUACGAUCGCAAGGUUGAAACUCAAAGGAAUUGACGGGGGCCCGCACAAGCGGUGGAGCAUGUGGUUUAAUUCGAUGAUACGCGAGGAACCUUACCAAGGUUUAAAUGUACUACGAAUAAGCUAGAAAUAGUUUAGUCUUCGGACGGAGUACAAGAUGCUGCAUGGUUGUCGUCAGCUCGUGCCGUGAGGUGUUGGGUUAAGUCCCUCAACGAGCGCAACCCUCAUUGUUAGUUGCCAACGAAUAAUGUCGGGGACUCUAGCAAGACUGCCGACGUAAGUCGAGAGGAAGGUGGGGACGACGUCAAAUCAUCACGGCUCUUAUAUCUUGGGCUACACACGUGCUACAAUGGUCGGUACAAAGGGUUGCUA